rnacentral:rRNA from 1 species
GAUGAACGCUGACAGAAUGCUUAACACAUGCAAGUCAACUUGAACUUCGGUUUGGGUGGCGGACGGGUGAGUAACGCGUAAAGAACUUGCCUCACAGAUAGGGACAACAUUUGGAAACGAAUGCUAAUACCUGAUAUUAUGAUUAUAUGGCAUCGUAUAAUUAUGAAAGCUAUAUGCGCUGUGAGAGAGCUUUGCGUCCCAUUAGCUAGUUGGAGAGGUAACGGCUCACCAAGGCGAUGAUGGGUAGCCGGCCUGAGAGGGUGAUCGGCCACAAGGGGACUGAGACACGGCCCCUACUCCUACGGGAGGCAGCAGUGGGGAAUAUUGGACAAUGGACCAAGAGUCUGAUCCAGAAAUUCUGUGUGCACGAUGAAGUUUUUCGGAAUGUAAAGUGCUUUCAGUUGGGAAGAAAAAAAUGACGGUACCAACAGAAGAAGUGACGGCUAAAUACGUG